rnacentral:rRNA from 1 species
UUUGGAUCAAGAGUGACGGGCGAUUUGUGCAUGUUUUAUUUCUUUAAAAGUAUUCAAAAAAUAAUUUUAUUACAUUUUUAUUUUCAAGUCCUAUUUAUUUCUUUUUUUUUUAAAGACUCCAAUCUUUAUACUUUGUGUCCCAUAUGCACACUACAUUAUACUCUCUGUCUUGAUUUGUAUUUUUAUUUUUUUUUUUAAUUUUUAAUAUAAAUUUUAAUAUUUUUAUUUUAAACAAUGAUAUAGAAAAUUAAAUAUAUAGUUCAUUUAAUCGUGGGCUAUCUAUUAUAGUACAGGACCCCCUGCUAAGUUAAAACACCGCCAUCCUAUUUAAUUUUUGUUUAUUUAACUACUAAUUUUUCUUUCUUUAAAA